ensembl:lncRNA
AUUCCACAGUAAGAAAAACAUUUAACAAUAUCUUUUUAUUUUAUAUUCAACACAUCUGUGUUUCCAGUGAAUAAUAGGUAUGACAGUGCACUGUUAAUAAAAACAGUUUUAGUAACUGCGUUAUGAUAUGACAAAAACAGCUGUCGAUGUGGUUUUCACAACACGAUGCAGUUACAGGUUUUGUGAGUAAAUAUUUAAAGGAGAUUAAAUCAUUUAUAACUUGAUGUCCUGGCAUUCAUGACGUCAGAGCAUACAGACAGCACAUACGACAACACUGUAUGUGUAGCCGCUAAACUGGUGACCUAAAUCUUCGCCACCACGUCUAUAUACAUACAAGCAUAAGGGGAGAGAGUGAAUCAGCGCUCGGAGUACGGACACUGGGCCGGCUUUAAACACACCAUUUAUUUUUUUAGAAGAACAGCCAGAAUCACAAGUAGGAGUUAAAAUCCCCACUAUACAAUAAAAAAUAAAUGUUCCCAACCCGCUAAAAAGCCCUGCCGGCAGAGAUUAAAAUACAAUUAAAAAAAUCAAAGCUAAAUGAAUGUCCUUUUUAUACGAUAAAACGUCCCCCCCAGAGUCCUCUAUUCCCAGUGUCCAACCACACACACUCUCGGGCAAAUGUUCCUUAGCUGAAAGAGACAGAAGGGGAGCUCCUAUCCCCACCUGGCGGCGCGUGACCGUGCAGUCCAGCCACUCUCCGCACCCGCACACGGCUUCCCUCGUAGCCCGGCCCUAAAACAACAAACACGGGCCAGCAACGUAGUCGGCACAGCCACUGUUACCCUUCCCCGGUAAAACCACGCCUAGCGCCCAACAGUGGGAAAGCGAUACUCACGGAUGCAGGCAGAGGCGUCCCCUCUGCCCUACUGUGGAUUUCACGCGUCGCCUCCCACUGUUGCUAUUCUGUCCGUCAGAACUGAAUCGCCGGGUUAUGCUGGCCGAUCGCCGGAAGUCUCGUGACACCGCACAGGCAGGCCGGUCCUUCUAUACAUGCGCUCGUCUGCACACGUUCGGUUUCCUGCUCUUCGCUUUCCGUGUGUCUCUUCUCCUGUCUUUGCG